ACCUGACAUUGGGGCACUGUAUCAAUGUACUGUAAGUAAUGCUCCCUGAUAAUCCCCUGUUGGUUGGGGCUUGUGACUGGGCAGAAUGGAGGUCAGGACUGAGAGUUGAGUAUGAGCUCUUGAGAGAGAAGCCGGAGGUAAGAGUCACCAUCCUUGUAACAAAGUGUUGUCUCUUUAAAACAUAUGACUUAAGAGGCAAAACAGGAGUCCUGGGUAAAUUCAGUGUCAGUCUUAGGUCACUGGGAAUCAGACAAGUGACUUCAUGUAAAGCCAGCCAGGUCUGCUCUAAAAGACAUUUUUGUUUACUACUUUUAAAAAGUAGCUCUAGUUAGAAAUAGUCAACCCCCACCCUUUUUCCAAGAUAGGGCACACUAUUUAUUUAGCUCUGGCAGGCUGGCCUUGAACUUACUGAGUUCAGGCUAGCCAGAGAUACAUAGACCCCUGUUUCAGACAGACAAACACCAAACACUCUCCACCUAGACUGGUGUGGCUCACUGUUGAGUAACAAAGCUGUUACUAGAAGCCAGGCCUUCUGACCUUUAACUGAGACUUGGUUUGCACACAGUGCGAUGCAGAUCACAGGGAGGACAGAACCACAUGUCCUA
rnacentral:lncRNA from 1 species